rnacentral:rRNA from 1 species
UACAGAGGGUGCGAGCGUUAAUCGGAGUUACUGGGCGUAAAGGGCGCGUAGGCGGUUGUGUGAGUGUGAUGUGAAAGCCCUGGGCUUAACCUAGGAAGUGCAUCGCAAACGACAUAACUGGAGUAUUAGAGAGGGUGGCGGAAUUUCCGGUGUAGCGGUGAAAUGCGUAGAGAUCGGAAGGAACGUCAAUGGCGAAGGCAGCCACCUGGCUCAAUACUGACACUCAGGUGCGACAGCGUGGGGAGCAAACAGG